GAUGAACGCUGGCGGCGUGCCUAAUACAUGCAAGUCGAGCGAACGGACGAGAAGCUUGCUUCUCUGAUGUUAGCGGCGCACGGGUGAGUAACACGUGGAUAACCUACCUAUAAGACUGGGAUAACUUCGGGAAACCGUAGCUAAUACCGGAUAAUAUUUUGAACCGCAUGGUUCAAAAGUGAAAGACGGUCUUGCUGUCACUUAUAGAUGGAUCCGCGCUGCAUUAGCUAGUUGGUAAGGUAACGGCUUACCAAGGCAACGAUGCAUAGCCGACCUGAGAGGGUGAUCGGCCACACUGGAACUGAGACACGGUCCAGACUCCUACGGGAGGCAGCAGUAGGGAAUCUUCCGCAAUGGGCGAAAGCCUGACGGAGCAACGCCGCGUGAGUGAUGAAGGUCUUCGGAUCGUAAAACUCUGUUAUUAGGGAAGAACAUAUGUGUAAGUAACUGUGCACAUCUUGACGGUACCUAAUCAGAAAGCCACGGCUAACUACGUG
rnacentral:rRNA from 1 species